UCAGGUUCGUGAUCCACAGCUGUCUUCAGUUCAGUUAAUUGCCCUCAGCCUAUUUAGGUGUCUUGGUUUCUGUUCAUACUUGUUAGGUCAUCUACUCUUUUAUACUUUGUCACCUUGUUUUGUCAUGUUUAGUGUUUAUUCAAUGUUUUAUUUCGUAUCACCAAGCCUGGUCUCCUGCAUAUUGGGUCCUCCUCCAUUUGGUCAUUCACUCACAGAGAACCUGGAUUUUGUUUUUGUUUUUUUUAGCCGGAUGUUCAAAUAGUUUUUCAAAUUUUCUUCCACUGGAUCCAAAACUUUUGCAUAAUAACCCUUUCCGUCCAGUCUGAUUCUCAAAUCUCCACCAAAGCUAUAAAAAAAAAUCAGUGAACAACUCUGAUACCAUGCUUGUCUAACAACAAAAUCUGUGACUCCGCCCCUUUUGGAAGACGGCUUGGCAACUUUAUUAACAAGAGGAGAAGUACACGUGAUUCGGGAAACAGACAAGGACUGCAGCCACACCAAACCCACAUCUGACACCUGAUAAGGAGCCUGAGUUCGGCACGAACGCCGUUUGGCGUGGAGCCAGAGAUCCUGCUGCAUGCUGGCGACCAGAGCCGAAGGUGCUGGGAGGCGAGAUGGAGAAAGAGGAGACGAUUUCAUCCCAAGGGAGUCGAUGCACGGAUGAGCCGCUGCAGCAAAGAGGGUCAGGAAGUUUACAGCCUGAGGACGAAAAAACAACAACAA